GAGUUUGAUCCUGGCUCAGGAUGAACGCUAGCGGCAGGCUUAAUACAUGCAAGUCGUGGGGCAGCAGCUCUGUAGCAAUACAGAGGCUGGCGACCGGCAAACGGGUGCGGAACACGUACGCAACCUACCCAUAACUGGAGGAUAGCCCAGGGAAACUUGGAUUAAUACUCCGUAACAUAUUGGAAAGGCAUCUUUUUAAUAUUAUAGCCGCAAGGCGGUUAUGGAUGGGCGUGCGCCUGAUUAGGUAGUUGGCGGGGUAACGGCCCACCAAGCCUGCGAUCAGUAACUGGUGUGAGAGCACGACCAGUCACACGGGCACUGAGACACGGGCCCGACUCCUACGGGAGGCAGCAGUAAGGAAUAUUGGGCAAUGGACGCAAGUCUGACCCAGCCAUGCCGCGUGGAGGAUGAAGGUCCUCUGGAUUGUAAACUUCUUUAAUCUGGGAAGAAAUCUAGGAAUUCUUUCUUAGUUGACGGUACCAGAUGAAUAAGCACCGGCUAACUCCGUGCCAGCCGCCG
rnacentral:rRNA from 1 species